rnacentral:rRNA from 1 species
CAAUAGCGUAUAUUAAAGUUGUUGCAGUUAAAAAGCUCGUAGUUGGAUUUCGGGGCAGCCUGGCUGGUCCGCCGCAAGGCGAGUACUGGUCAGCCGCCCUUCCUCUCGAAAGCCCCGACUGCUCUUUAUUGCAGUGGUCGGGUAGUUCGGGACGUUUACUUUGAAAAAAUUAGAGUGUUCAAGGCAGGCCUACGCCUGAAUACAUUAGCAUGGAAUAAUGGAAGAGGACCUCGGUCCUAUUUUGUUGGUUUCCAGGACCGAAGUAAUGAUUAAGAGGGACAGUUGGGGGCAUUCAUAUUUAAUUGUCAGAGGUGAAAUUCUCGGAUUUAUGAAAGACGAACAACUGCGAAAGCAUUUGCCAAGGAUGUUUUCAUUAA